GAUUCGGCAAAGUAUCGCUGAUGAGGUUGUGUUAUUACAAAUAAUCUACUUAGACCUGUAUUUCCUUUUCAUUUCAGUUGCAAAAUCUGCUGUAUAUGUUACUAAAUUUAACUUCAUUGCAGUACCCUAGCCUUGAACCUUUGCUAGAUGACUUGCUCCCAAAGAAGUCACCUAUGAUUGUUGUUAAAUGGUUAGUAGUUUCUCUUUCUUGUUUAGUGUGCUCGCUAACAUGUCAUUAUUGAUAUUGACAUACCUAAAAUUGCAUUUGGUAAUUCCAUUUUCUUAAUGAUUUUUUUAUUUAUUUUAGACUAAGUAAAUGUGUGAAUCAAUUUUCAUUUCCCUCAUUUGCAAGAUCAUGUGUUCCCUUUCAAGUGCACUGACCACAGUUUGUUUCUUUCUUGCUGCAGCCAAAACCAUCUGAAUCUUGUGGUGGUGAAUAAUGUCCCGCUAUUUUUCAACAUCCGUGAUGGUCCUUACAUGCCAACGCUGCGUCUUCUUCACCAAUGUAAUCGUGUUUCUUUCAAAUUUCCUGGAAUGUCAUCUCUGAAUCUUUAUUCCAAUGUUAUGCACCAUGAUGUUUUAGGGCUCAUUCUAUCUUGUCAUGCAUAUCUGUUAGGAUGCCAUCAUUCUUAAAGUUUACCUGUUGGAGAAUAUUAACUGGAAUAAAAACUACUUACAUUUGAUCAGAUCCUGAAAUCAUGAAAAAGUUCCAAGUGGACAGAGGUGCUAUCAAAUUUGUGCUCUCUGGUGCAAACAUAAUGUGUCCUGGAUUGACGUCACCUGGCGGUGUCUUGGAUGAUGAAGUCGAGGAGGAAACACCAGUGGUAAUGACUAAUAAACUUCUAAUCCAUUCAUGAAUGAUUCUUGUCUGUUUCAGUGACAGUUUGCAUCGAAAAUUUCUAUAUUGAGACUUUUUGUAUGCUUCUGUUGCAUUCGUAGAGUGUAUACACUUUAAAUUGUCCAUAUUAAGAUAUUUUGCUUCAUAUGGUUUAUCUAUGCAUGAUAAUCCACAACAAUUUCUUAACAACCUUCUUCCUCCCCCUGAACAUGCCUGCUGCCACUCAUAUUUUUUUUUCAAAUCUGUUUUGCCAGGCUAUAAUGGCUGAAGGCAAACAACACGCACUGGCAAUUGGAUUUACAAAGAUGUCAGCGAAGGACAUGUAAGUUCCUUUAUGCAGGAUUGUUCCAAAUUGAUUCUUUUUAGUCUGUAAAUUUUACUUCUGAAGUGUGAACCUUACACUCUUGUGAGUGUUUACUAAUAUUCAGCUUUAACUGUGCAAGUUUUUUAUGUGUACUUGUGGUUGUUUUGUAUGAUUUGCCAUCUUUUAUUUUCUAAUGAUACCUGCCAUUGCAUUCUGAACAUACGAGACAGGAUUUUAGCUUUUCUUACCAUUGCAUCCCACAUUCCCACAUAAUAUUAGGUACUAACAUGUCUUCUGCUGGCAAUACUGCUCCUGAUUAUUUUUGCAGAAGGACCAUCAACAAAGGGAUUGGAGUUGAUAAUAUGCACUAUCUAAAUGAUGGCCUAUGGAAGGUACUUGUCUUUCCCUGUGUCUCCCUCAUCACCUUCCUUCUCUGGUUGCGAACAUCAAAUUGUCGCAUUAAGUUAACUAUAGCAUUGCAAGUAGAUUUGCUAGCUUAUUCUUUACAAUUAUAGUAUUAAGUAGUGAAUGACAAAUAUAGCUUUGUUCAUGAGCAAUGUAGUGAGAUUGCUGGAAUGGAGAAAGGGCGGGAACUUAAUAAUUUUAUCGGUUAUUCUUCAGAGUUUGUUGGCUCAGGUGAUACUGAUCCCUUUUUUUUUUCAUUUUGACAGAUGGAAAAGCUCGAAUAAGAAGAAUACAGUGAGGGAUGCUGAACUUACAGUAUGGUCAUAUUGCAAUGUAAGGACCAGUAGAACUAUGUAUCUACACAGCUGGUAUCGUUUGAACAAAUGAAGUAUCCAGAAGCUACAUUUUCCGGAUAGAAGUUGAGUUUACUCCGCCCCUUUUGUGUUGGAAUGUCUGUUGAGACACCUUGAAUGCGGUGUUCAGCGCUUUAAAUGGCAAUACUGGAAUCCUUUGUAUGAUCCUGUCAGCUUAUCAUUAGUCAGUGCGCUUUCACCAAAACAAUUUACAUUGAAUGGAAACAAGAAAAUCCUUAAAGCUCGACAUGAGUAAUUUGAUUUUAGUUUGUAUUUUAUAACUUCUUUUCGUUGACUAACACCUUGAAUGCGGUGUUCAGCGCUUUAAAUGGCAAUACUGGAAUCCUUUGUAUAAUCCUGUCAGCUUAUCAUUAGUCGGUGUGCUUUCACCAAAACAAUUUACAUUGAAAUGGAAACGAGAAAAUC
rnacentral:lncRNA from 1 species